GUGAAUAUGGGAUGGCGGUGGGGGUAAUGGAACUAUCCAGUAGAAACGAUGACAUCGCCCCACCAACCGCACGCACGCACCCGUGCACACGCACGCGCGUGUGUGUGUGUAGCCUGUUGCAUACGUGGUCGGGAUUUGCGCGCAAUAAAACGCGGUAGUUAACACGCGGCGCGAUGACUUCUCCCCCCCCCCCCGCCGCCGCCACCCGCGUUAGUUUGCGAGCGCCUAUUUGGCACGGCGCGGUCGCGUUCCGAACUUGCGCGCGGCUAACGCGGGUCUCGUCGGCGCGUGCCCCGUUGCUCCCAACAGGUUUACUCUCUCGCGUUGUCGGGCCGAGAUCAUCGAAGGUGGGAUCGGUGCCAAACGUUGUGUAUUCGUACCGGCCGUGCCAUUAAAUGCGAUGUUUUAUUGAUUAUUAUUAUUAUGUUUUUUUGCGGGUACCGAAUAUCAAUCGGUUCGCCCAUCACCAUGCCACGCGCGCUCUCUCUCUCUCUCUGCCUUGCGCACCUGCGCGCGCGAACGCACGCACGCGUGCAUUUACAGCGGCGGAAUGGAGGUGGCGCAGUGGUGAAGCCCACGGCUCACAACACAUCAGGAGUGCGGGGAGGCUUGAUACCCUCGUAGGCUCUCAACGCCUCCCCCACAAACAUGCACACGUCGGCGUGGGCUAAGCUGUAUGGUGGGUUCGACGUAUGGUCCGCGCAAGCCGUCGCACGACACACGAGGUGCCCAGGACGGUUCAUCCAGCGGUGGAUUGACAAACGGGACUGACUUGCACAGCGGAUGCAGCACUCUCACGGCACUAUUCAACGCGGAGAUGAGAAGCUCAGCCGCGUCGAACCGCGUACAGCCGAGACAAGGCAGACUUCAUUGGUCACAGGGUUUGUUUGACCAUACUUCACCACGCUGGGGUGCCCACGGCCGCUCCACAUACCGCUGGGCACUCAUCUCAGCUGCGGCAGGGAAUCGGGACUGGGGUCGCUGGGAUCAUCGGGCGGCGCGCGAACUGCUGCGCCACUGUUCCCCACACCAUCGCAGGCUGCCAUGACCGAUUGGCUUGAAGGUGGUGGUGGGGCUGCAUCGCUUGUGCAGCUCUAGCAGACAGUGAUGCAUAGGGCGCCAUGGUGUUGAGAUGUUAGGACCUCGCCUGGUAUACAGGAGGUCGUGGGUUUGAUCCCGACCCUGACGCGUAUUUUGAUUUUGCAUGAUUUUUAUUCUAGGUUCUCUGGUUUUUCACUCCACAUUUAGAAACAUGCGUUUUGAGCACUUGGCUGCAAAUACACUUCCACGCAAUAAGCCACUUCGUUGAGCCAUCAUUUGUCACUCGGUCGCUAUUGUUAAUAGUUAAAUGGUUACUUAAUGUGAAAAAGAAAAAACCUUGAACAAAACAUUUCAAAACGACGUGAUUUGCGAAGCAAUCAUUAUUUCCUAUUCAAGGCUCCUGAUAAAUAUUUAAUUUCCACAGCAUUAUUUAUACAUUUUCUAGCAUAUUCCACAAUGUAAAAAUAAAGCGAAAAAAACCCGCGUUCGACCGAUUGGAAGUAAUCUGGGGAAUGACGUCAUUCCAGAAAAGUCACGGAGUUUACGGGACCCAAAUAGGACGGCAAAGGAAAAGCCUGCUGCGAGGGAUCUCCGAGGGCACGAGUGUUAUUCGCUCGUCCUCUGAAGCCAGCAGCUGGAUUUACAGCCUAGACAUCGAUUUCUACUAUACUGGUUACUCAGUGCGUACCCUAUGAACGAGAGUGAGGCCACAACAACAGCCCCCCUAAGGUCCGUGGGCUUUUUCGUAAGCAAGGCUGCCCCCGACACAUCGUUGACCACCUUGUGUAAGGGCGACCUCGCUGAGAAGAAGAACAUUUGCAAGUGGGAUGCUGCCACGGUGUGAUAAUAGUUUGCACUUGCAAUCCAGAGGUCACCGGUUCGAUUCGACCUCCUUGCGCAGUAGUGUCUCAAACAGUGGGGCAAGUUUCUCAAAUCUUCCCUCCUCCUCACGUCUUUCCACCCAGGUGUUUAAAUGGGUUUCCACGUCAGUCGCUUGACAGAUCGUGUAAUCGUGGCGCAAACUGUGGGCACUCACACUCGGGCCAGCGUAGAAAAAUACCUCAAAUGCCCUCUACAAGGACCCUCUCGAGCUCCCUCUAGUGGAGGACCUUCGGCCAACAGUGGCGGCAGAGCGAGCAAUUCAUGGGCUGUCCAUUUAUUUAUCCCAGCACUGAAAGGGCGGCGCCAGAAUGUUUUUGUGCUGAGCAUUUGCCGAGCGCCAAUGGCAAAUACCAAGCAAUCUGUCCGUGCCUGACCCGCCCGUGUCGCGACACAAACACUUGUCGCCAACUGUGACUGGAGUUGUCACUUGGCUGGGAGUGAGGGCUUGCCAAGGUAGUUUUGCCAAAGUGUUGCCAGAGGCACAAUAAAUGGCAAAUGUAACAAACUCAAGCCGGUUUGCCACUGAAUUGAGCGACGGGAAGUCCACGUUCCAAUGGUCUUUCCGUACGAAACAAACUGGUGACUUCUCCACAAGACGGUACCGUUUUGUUUGCUUCACCCUUGAGAGAUGGAGGAGUGAAUCGACCCUGACUGGGAUUUGAACUAAACAAUUCAUCUAUUGCAAGCCAUGCACUCUACAGCUGCAUCACCCAGCCACAUGUGCAAAGUAAAGAAAAUUGCAAAUACGUGACAUUGUUUGUGUCACUUUGUUUAGGUGUGGAAGUGUGAAUUUGUCAUGUCAAAUUCAUUUUUGUUAAUUCUCAGAGCUAGAAUAAGCCACAUUCUAUGAGCAUCCAAAUGUAAUAUGGUGUUUUAUUGUGCGGUCUUUGGCGACUUAGCCAAGACCAUCAAAUCACUAGACUUGUAGAACCUCGGACGCUUGUCAGGAUCUCAACGAUGCCAGCUCAGCAGAUCUGGGUGAUCUUGGUCUGGCCCAGACUGUUGGAACGUGAGAUUGCUCUCCAAAGUCAACAACCUUCACAGGCCAACCGAUCUUACCAGCUUAAUGGCUUUGCACGGCGGUGCCUUGCCCCCCACCCCCCCCAGCCCUCCGGCCUUCCUAGAAAUAUUGUGGGAGGCAGCACGGUCACAACGUAUGUACUGCAGGCAUGUAUGGAUGUUGAACUUCUUUCGCACCGUACGCAGCCAACCGUGCUUAUCGGAGGUGUGGGGGAAGGACAACAAUCCGAGGUAGAUUCGGCCCAGUCUUAAAAUGCUUGGCAGAGUCAGUCUGGUGGCUGAUCUCUCGGGCCGUGGCCUGGUGACGCACACCCAGCGCUGCUGCUCAGUUCUCUCAUGUGGAUUUGGCCCUCGUUUGUCCACCUGACCGACUGUCACACCACUCCCUGGUUCAUAAAAAAAAGCACCAUGGCAAGUUUAAUUUUCAAUAUUAACUCGUUGAGGCACGGUUUUGCAACGCAGGUGUCCUUAUGGCCACUUACUAUACAUUUGUUUUGCUUGUGACCUGCAUUUCACCUCUGACGUGUGCCUGAAUAUGUUACUCAGAACUAAUUUGUUGAAAAGCAACUACAGAGAAGAAGAAAAAAACUGUCCAAGUCAUUGAGGUACAUUCAUAUUUAGUGUUAUUCAAAACUGUAAUUUAUUUCAGCUCAACGAUGCAUAUUGUAGUUUCAAUGUUCUUAUUUGAAAGUUAAAAAAAAACUAUUAAGCUCGGUGAUGGGUUUCUUACCAUUUAUGCUUAUAUUAAAUAUAUAAUUUGAGGUUGAUAAACGCAAGGCAAUGCGGCAUAUAAAAUGCAUCAAUACUUUUCCACACGGACCACAUUACACCUUCCACUGGGUGUUUACCACUUAGCCAACCACCUUUUAAUUAGUUGCUUGACGAGCAUUUAUAAAAUAAGGAAUUCAAGGACAAAGUCACGAAUGUAAAUUAUACGGUAUAAAACAGCCCUUUAUCAUGGGGGUUGCUUGACCAUCCAUACUUCACCAUGCUGGUCAGUUUCGGUUGGUAAAGGGGGUAGAACCCAGAACCGGUUCGGAUAUCAUACAUCGCUGAUGUUGGUCAUGGCUGGGAAUAUAACUCGAUUCUGUGUGUCCGUAGCGCUGUUCCACUCACUGCUGGGUAGAUCUUUGAAGUGCCUUCCACUGAAGCCAAAUGCACUUCGCUUGACCUCACCAUGGUUCACUUCAAUUUAUUUGGUGAUUGCGAUCUAAAUUGGUUACGCGGCUAUUACAUUUAACCACAAUUACCAUUCCAAUAUUCAGCGAUAUGUAAUGCUUGAAAAACACAUGGGUUUGUUAAGCUGUAAAUAAUGCACCAAACGGUUCCCUAUUUGCAUUCCCUUAAUCGAGGAUAGGGUAACAACAGCAGCAUCUAAAGCAUUGCUUCUCUGCAUUCCCAGAGGACGUGCUCCCGUAAACCUCUAAUUUUUUUUUUCCCCCGUGCACUGCUUUGGGGAGGAAUACGUGUCACCGACAGCAUCUCUAAAAAUACAUAUUGAAAUGCUUCUCAAGGACGGUGAAGGUCAAAGGCUGCAACGGUUGCAGCGUCCGCAUCAACAACGCGGCAUGCAGCAUAUGGGCAGCAGCCAAAGGGAUGUUGGGUGGAAUGAGCGGGCUACGUUGUACGUUGCAAUUAAAGGGACACGGCAUCUCAACAAGGAAUGCGACACGCUUGAAACAUUAAGAGGGGUUUUUUUUUGUUGCUUGAAUUUACAAUGCAUUGUCCGCAUUGUGGAGCCUACAAAAAGAAAAAUCUUGCGUUUCUCGCCGCUGCAUUUGUGGCAUCGCUCAAAUUGCCCACCAUUAUGUACUCCGCACGCAUUAGCCCCUCGCGAACUCGGAUUUCUCCCUGGGCUCUUCGCGAAUGCAGCGAGCACCCCCACUUUACCGCUUGUCGACAAUCAUUGGAUAGAUAAUGUUCGAGACACUUCUGCAAUUCAACAGCUUCUUUCUCAAAGCCCCGGUUGCUAUAACGGAGGGUAGCGCUCAUCAAAAUGACCUUUGAACACACCGCGUACUCAUUCAGAUACAGAACUCAUGCAGCACAUGUCAACCUUUCGUCCAGCGUGAAUUCUAUUGCAAAAGAGGAAUAUUGUCACAACCUGUGAAAGUAUCAGCUUCUUUCUGACUGUUGUUCAUCAAGAACACCAAUCGAGUUAUGGAAUUGAUGUUGUAGAAAUGCCUUUCUGGGACACCCUGGGACUAAAAGCUGGUCUUGGCCUACAUGAGCAAGAUUUUCCACUGUAGCAAGGCCGUAAUUAUAAAUAUAUAUUGGGGGGGGACACAUCCCCCCCCCCCAUAUUCAAAUAUGCUCAAAAUGUC